GGCCGGUUGGCCCAAUGGCAAGGCGUCUGACUACGAUUGAUCGUGAUAUCAGGAGAUUCUGGGUUCGACCCCCAGGCUGGUCA
rnacentral:tRNA from 1 species